AGUGGAUUCAUAGUGCCGGCACCAAGCCCCAGUGACAACCCUGGCAGCAGGAAAACAACAAACAAACAAACAAAAAAACCCAACAAAAACAUGAGACCAACAAGCUAGAGUUCUUAAAAACAAAAUGGGCUGUCCUGUAAGAAACCAAAUAUUGAUGAAGAUGUGAAGGAAAAGGAGACAAUACUAUCAGGCCUGAUAAGUGCUCUUCCGUGCAGUGCUCUGACCACCAGUGACCCUGAGCACAGUGGUCUCCGUGGCUUGGUGUGACGGCAGCGACUGUGAUGUCCCACCUAGCUGUGGGCGCUGAGACAGACGCUUUCAGUAUGUGAAAGGAAUUGAAGGUUUAACACAUGACAAGAAGAAGCAUCUGGAUUUAACUUCACAGUUCACAGUAAGAGGUAGAAAAACAUGACUUACACUCAUCUCGGAACCUUGGUUCUGCAUUAGGCCC